rnacentral:rRNA from 1 species
UACGUAGGUGGCAAGCGUUGUCCGGAUUUACUGGGCGUAAAGAGCGCGCAGGCGCCGGGUAAGUCGAAUGUGAAAGCCCCCGGCUCAACUGGGGAACGUCAUUCGAUACUGUUCGGCUCGAAGAUAGGAGAGGGAAGCGGAAUUUCAGGUGUAGUGGUGAAAUGCGUAGAUAUCUGAAGGAACACCAGUGGCGAAGGCGGCUUUCUGGCCUAUUCUUGACGCUGAGGCGCGAAAGCUAGGGGAGCGAACGGG